rnacentral:rRNA from 1 species
UCUGGUGGCGAUGCGCUUAGGGGAAACACCCGUACCCAUCCCGAACACGAUGGUUAAGACCUAAGCGGCCGAUGGUACUGCACUGGAGACGGUGUGGGAGAGUAGGUGGCUGCCAGAU